GGGUCAGUAGGUUGGUCGUGCCACCGGUACGUACUGGUCUCACUGAUUCCUCCUUCCUGAAGAACUGUAAUGCCAUUAAUUUGGUGUUGCGGGGGAACAGGACUGUUACUUUGAAAAAAUUAGAGUGUUUAAAGCAAGCUAACGCUUGAAUACAUUAGCAUGGAAUAAUGAAAUAGGACGAUCGAUCCUAUUUUGUUGGUUUCUAGGAUUGACGUA
rnacentral:rRNA from 1 species